ACAGGCACUUGGCACCCUUGUGAUGUCAUACAGAGAAGUCACAGUGCAGUACCCGAGGGUCUGU
rfam:Rattus norvegicus strain BN; Sprague-Dawley chromosome 13 CRA_213000034387337, whole genome shotgun sequence.